UACGUAGGGUGCAAGCGUUGUCCGGAAUUAUUGGGCGUAAAGAGCUCGUAGGCGGUCUGUCGCGUCGGCUGUGAAAUCCCGGAGCUCAACUCCGGGCCUGCAGUCGAUACGGGCAGACUGGAGUUCGGCAGGGGAGACUGGAAUUCCUGGUGUAGCGGUGAAAUGCGCAGAUAUCAGGAGGAACACCGGUGGCGAAGGCGGGUCUCUGGGCCGAAACUGACGCUGAGGAGCGAAAGCGUGGGGAGCAAACAGG
rnacentral:rRNA from 1 species